AAAAAAAGUUGACGGGGGCCCGCACAAGCGGUGGAGCGUGUGGUUUAAUUCGAAGCAACGCGAAGAACCUUACCAGGUCUUGACAUCCUCUGACAACUCUAGAGAUAGAGCGUUCCCCUUCGGGGGACAGAGUGACAGGUGGUGCAUGGUUGUCGUCAGCUCGUGUCGUGAGAUGUUGGGUUAAGUCCCGCAACGAGCGCAACCCUUGAUCUUAGUUGCCAGCAUUUAGUUGGGCACUCUAAGGUGACUGCCGGUGACAAACCGGAGGAAGGUGGGGAUGACGUCAAAUCAUCAUGCCCCUUAUGACCUGGGCUACACACGUGCUACAAUGGAUGGUACAAAGGGCUGCAAGACCGCGAGGUCAAGCCAAUCCCAUAAAACCAUUCUCAGUUCGGAUUGUAGGCUGCAACUCGCCUACAUGAAGCUGGAAUCGCUAGUAAUCGCGGAUCAGCAUGCCGCGGUGAAUACCGUUCCCGGGCUUGUACACACCGCCCGUCACACCACGAGAGUUGGUUAUACCA
rnacentral:rRNA from 2 species